rnacentral:lncRNA from 1 species
ACAAGAUCUCCUUUAGAAAGUGUCCUUAGAAAAAUAACACAAGAUGUUAUGGUGGCGCGUAAUGAAUCAUGUACUUUUUAGCCUAAAUAAACAAAAUAAAAAUAAACAUCUAUUAUGCUGAAUAAUCUUAUUAAUGAUGUUUUUUCCAAUGCAUAGUCAUCAGACUUAUUUGGUUUCACCAAUUUUACCCAACUCUCUCUCCUAAACUAGCUUUAUUUUUUCCUACUUCAAUAAAA